GUAUUUACCAGCCUACCAGUGGCCAAGAAUUGAAGCCAUGUUCUUGGCUGACCAGGGGUCUAAGGUUCAGUUUCAUGGGCACAGACCUGUGGUCCCACUGGUGAAGCAGAUGACGCUCACCUCAGCAUCAUAUAGGGAUAAGAUCUCAAUUCCACUCUUCUCCCCUCUUUGCUUCAGGUCAUCAUCAAAGGGGUCCAUAAGGAUGAUCACCUUCAGGCUCGGGGUGAAGCCUUUCUCUACAUUCCCUAUCAGCACCAAUGCCUUUUGGGGUGUGUCACAGAUCACCAUGGCGAUAUCAGCUGGAAGCCAAAAUAGAACCAGAGGUCAUUCCCUCUCUCUGCUAAGUACCUGAUUGCCUUGCAAGAAGGAAGAGGUUUUAAAAGUUUUCAAAGCUAACAGGUGUCCAAAGGAGAUUACACCUGCAAAUCAGAUUUAUAAUGUACAACCUGAAACAUUCCAUUGAUGAUAAAUGAACUUAACUGAAACAGAAGCACAUGUUCUUGAACUGUGCCAGCAGAUUUUACAGUUUCUAGAGGAACCACAGAAUUCCUUCUGCUUAAGAAGUCAUUCAGAUAACCUAAACAGGUUACUGAGACUCACCAUGGACAUUGGUACAUGCUGGUUAACUGUAUUGACUUGGAUUUACAAAGUCUCAGGUAUUUCUUCGUAACAGUGUGAUAACGAACUAAUACAGACAGCAUAACAUCAUUGUGUGGAUACACAUUAGCAAGCUUGAAGACUACAGGAAAUAAAACUGGAAAGAAGAACGGUCAUGAGGGAUACAUGUGCACAGAGAAAAGGCCGUGUGAAGACAAA
rnacentral:lncRNA from 10 species